rnacentral:lncRNA from 1 species
CACCUAUGCUCAACCCAACAUGGCUACUUCCACCCAGGACCCCAGCAGUAGUCUGACCAGCCAUGUUUCAGGCACCACAGCCAGGCCCCAAGAGGGUGACUCCACCUCUAAUACCACCAUCAACACCUCAAGCCUACCUACCACACCAGCCCAAUCGACCCUGUCACAGGACAGAUGCUCAUCCCCUCCAGUUCUGUGUUGUUUGGGGCAGAGUAGCAGCUGUAGAAGAAGAAGCUGUUUCUGUGACCAGGCCUGUGUGCUGUAUGGAGACUGCUGCCAUGACUACAGGACCACCUGCACACAACCGUUCACCCCUCCAAAGCCAGUCACACAAGAGCCAAGAACAGUAGACAGCAAUACUACACCUAAACCAUCUAACACAGUAGACAGCAGUACUACACCUAAACCAUCUAACACAGUAGACAGCAGUACUACACCUAAACCAUCUAACACAGUAGACAGCAAUACUACACCUAAACCAUCUAACACAGUAGACAGCAAUACUACACCUAAACCAUCUAACACAGUAGACAGCAAUACUACACCUAAACCAUCUAACACAGUAGACAGCAAUACUACACCUAAACCAUCUAACACAGUAGACAGCAAUACUACACCUAAACCAUCUAACACAGUAGACAGCAGUACUACACCUAAACCAUCUAUCACAGUAGACAGCAAUACUACACCUAAACCAUCUAACACAGUAGACAGCAGUACUACACCUAAACCAUCUAACACUGUAGACAGAAGUACUACACUUUCACCAUCUAACACAGUAGACAACAAUACUACACCUAAACCAUCUAACACAGUAGACAGAAGUACUACACCUUCACCAUCUAACACAGUAGACAGAAGUACUACACCUUCACCAUCUAACACAGUAGACAGAAGUACUACACCUUCACCAUCUAACACAGUAGACAGAAGUACUACACCUUCACCAUCUAACACAGUAGACAUCAAUAUUACACCUUCACCAUCUAACACAGUAGACAGCAAUUCUAGUAGUACUACACCACCAUCAAACACAUUGGACCUCAAUACUACACCUUCACCAUCUAGCACAGUAGACAGCAGUACUACACCUUCACCAGAAGAUGGCAGCACACUAGAAGGUACAACAUCCACUCCUGUUGAACUUGGAUCCGCAUUGACUCUUCAAGCCACACAUACCGUCCCUGCUGUGUCUAACCUAGUACAGACCAUUACCAGUCAUUCUGACGACACAACUGGUAACACAACACCACCAGUCACAACAACCUUAAUCCAGAAUACAGUCUCCAAGGAAACAGACCAUAAGAACAUCAUAACCUCUCACAAAGGUAGGCUAUAGUUCCCACUGCCAAGUUGCUCAAGAAUCAUGGCAUUAACAUUAUUGAUUUUGUAAAGGGCAUCAUUUACAGCUCAGUAUGGCUAGGAUCAUCAUCUCAAAAUGGAUCAUGUUACAUUGUGAUUUUUCCAAUCAGAUACCCAAACUCUGAUCGCCCAUUUGAGGGUCUCUAUAGUUUCGGCUGGGGACAUAAGUAAGGAGGAGAUCAUUGAGGCGUUGCAUCAUGUAAGUGAAGCUCACAAUUAUCAACUCACACUUUUACACGGCUUAAUGUUUCUAAAACAUUACUACAUGACCAGUAUCAACCAUUUAGAAGUAGGCUUCUAGGCUAUAUUAUAUCAACCUGUUGAGAUAACAGGCAGGAGAGACUUUAUUCCUUGCCUGAUUCUACUCUUCCUCUCCAGUUUGCAGCGCAGGUCCAAGCCUUUCUACAGAGAGAGUACUGUAAUAACUGCACACUGCGCAUCAGAAACGUCAGAGGAAUAUGAGACCAACAUUUAAUCCAAAACAUGUCUCUACACUAACCCAAAGAAUCUUAUGAGAUUCCUGGAACUAACCCUCUUCAUAUAACCCUAAUAUAGUCUGGACCCCACAGAAAAACCUACAUCUGAAAAUCAACAAUGCCAGUUUAAGCUUUUCAGUCAUUUUGAUUUUGGUUCAGUCUUUUUCAGAAGAAUUACAUCUAUGGCCUAUUAAUUGUAGCCUAUAUUUAUAUUUAACCUUAUUUAGGAAUGUUGGUCAGUUUAGCAUAUGGACAUAUUGUAUUAUAGGUUUAUAAUGCUGUUCAGUCAUUUGUCACAAGAAGGCAGUAUAACUGUUUCAUUAUCCAACAGAAGCGCAGUAAAAGAGGCUUUCCAACACUGUCAAAAAUGCACUUUCAUAAGUGACUUUCAAAAAAUUCAUUUUUACCCCUUUUUGUCACGAUAAUAUUUUCCAUCUAAAAACCCCCAAAAAGCUGUAAUACAACAGCUAUUUCCAAUUUGUAUACUAGACAUUGUUUAAAAACAAAUAGGUAAAGAUGCCUCUAAGGGGCACUAUACACCUGUUGGCUGCAAAACAAAAGUUAUUUUGGAAAAUCUGCGCAACAACUGGAUUGUCAAUAUAUAUCCUGUAUAUACUGUGUGUGUGUAUACACAUACAUACACAUACAGUGGGGAGAACAAGUAUUUGAUACACUGCCGAUUUUGCAGGUUUUCCCUACUUACAAAGCAUGUAGAGGUCUGUAAUUUUUAUCAUAGGUACACUUCAACUGUGAGAGACGGAAUCUAUAACACAAAUCCAGAAAAUCACAUUGUAUGAUUUUUAAGUAAUUCAUUUUCAUUUCACUAAUCACCUUAAUAAUGUUUACAUAUUUCAUAUCUCAUAUGUAUAUAUUGUAUUCUAUUCUACUGUAUUUUAGUCUAUGCCACUCCGACAUUGUUCGUCCAAAUAUUGAUAUAUUCUUAAUUCCAUUCCUUUACUUUGGAUGUGUGUGUAUUGUUGUGAAAUUGUUAUAUAUUACUUGUUAGCUAUUACUGCACUGUUGGAGCUAGAAACACAAGCAUUUCCCUACACCCACAAUAACAUCUGCUAAACAUGUGUAUGUGACCAAUCACAUUUGAUUUGAUUUGAUUUGAGAAAGUGAUAUUGACUCAGAAAAGGUUGGUGACCACUGGCUGACAGGCUAAGACAGCCAAUAUGUAACUUGAGUGAACUAUCCCAUGAACACAUGAUGGGGGGGUCUUUCAAAAGUAAUCACCUAAUAGCAGGAACAGCACCAUCUAGUGGUCAGAAUUUGGUAAAAUUAGGAUGUGGGAUGGGACAUAAAUCCAACAACUUCAAACAUCACCAAAUUCACUGAGAAUACAUUACACAGAAUGAAGAGACAAUACUCUGAGCCGCAGCUCCAUACUACUUGUCAAACAUAGAAAACUGAUACUCAUUGUUUGGGUGGGAUUGGCUUGGGGGAUUCCGUGGGGGUCUUUUGACAAUUUCUUUGGAUUCCUCCUGUCUAACUCAUUGUUAGAGACAAGUUUGGCCCAAAUCAGAUGUUACAUAUUAUAAUUAUUCAAUAUUAUAUGAAUCCUGUCAAUUAAAAUGGCUAAUUUGGGUGCAGUCGAAUGAGUUUAAUUUCUCAGAGAUUAAAUUAUAUUUCAACAAAAUAAUGUUGUUGCAAUGCUAAUCUUAUCUGUUUCUAACAACAGAAACGAUUUCAGAACAAUCUGAGAUGUUGGGUGUUGAAAUCAUCUUUCUUGUGCUUUUUCAGGUGAAACGACCCCUGUAUGAUUUGGCACCUCAAAUGCAAUCACUCUGUAUGUCUUUAUUGUUCUUUAUUUCAUAUGCACAUAUUAAUUGCUGUAUAAUGAUAGCAAACUGUGACAUAACUGUCUAACCCAAACAAACCUCAUCAUAUUGUUGAAUAACAUUCCCAAAACAUUGUUUCUUUACCCAUGCUUGUCUUCAUAAUAUUCAAGAUUAUACAUACAAUUAUUUAAUGGUUUGUCUCUUUCUACAUACACACAUAUGGUCUCACAUACAUACACAUACACUAUCUGUUGCACCGGGCAGUUUAAGUGUCCCUUAUGUUCUGUGGUGUGUGCCAUGUAAAAGGCCCUUCUGGAAUGUAUCUUGAUAGGGCCUCACAGGAGAAGAUUCUGAAUUGUGAUGACCCACAGUUCCCCCCACCCCCCUACUGCUCCCCCCUGAUCCCCCUCCUGCUUUCAGUUUCUCAUUUUUGAAUGGAUGUGAAAAAAAAUAACUUUGCAGCUAAAGGUUUUGCAAAAUCACUAGCAGGUCCGUGAAAAGUUUGUAUUGACAUUUUCCUGGCUUUGGCAACUGUCAAAACAUCUGCAUGCAGCAUUGCCUCACAGCCAGCCCACCAGCCAACCCAACUUCAGGACUCAGAGUCCGCUCUCCUCCUCUGCUCUACUCUUCAAAGUUAAACCGCCCCAUUGUCGUUCAAAUUCAAGUCAAAAUCAUCUGCACUCAAUUUUUCCUUCCCUCCUCCUCCUCCUUCGCCCAUGAACUCCUCAUAAGGGUCCUUCUUCUGUGAACUGUCGACGAAGCUCUUGAAGAGGGCGAUAGCCAGGAAGGAGUAGAAACCCAUGACAAAGAGGAUGUAGAAGUAAGCAUUGUCGUAGGAAGUCCUGGGAUCCACAGCCGGCUGGCUGGGGGUCAGGAUGGGCAUUGGGAGGGAUGAUGACGAUGUGGUGUUGGUGUUUAGGUGGUGGACACUGUUGCCACUGUUGGAUUCCAGUUCUUCCAGGAUGAUCUUCCUGCAUCGGGAGAGUAGCGCAAGAAGCAGGGUUCGGUUCAUGGCGAAACAGAUAAAAAGGAGUUUGGAAUGAGGCAGAGAGACAAAUACAGAUGAGGGAGAGGAGACGGAGAAAAUAAAAAUGGUAUCCAAAAGUAUUCAACGAUGGAAUGAGAGAGACGAUGAAGAAAUGGAGUUCUAGAGAGAGAAAGACAUUGGAGAAAGAUGUGUAGAGCCAGAUUGAGAAAGGGAAAAAUAGAGCCAGAGAGAGAGGGAGAAGUGACGACACUGAGCCGCAUUGGGAAAGGAAUGUUGUCCC